UUCGACUUUUAAUUGGCAGCACCAUAUUCUGCUAGUGAGGGCAAGAGAGGGUGUGUGGAUCCCUGUGUCCAUGGACUGACCGUGGGAGGCUUCGCCAUCUGUCCAUAUGUUAACAGAAGUAUUAAAAGGAAUUCUAACUAGAUCCAAAAGAUUCAUUUUUACUGUGAUUGCAGUGAAUAUGGGUCUUAUUGCAGUCACAGCUACUCAGAAUUGUGGAACUCUGAGACCCAAAUAGAUCAAAAAUUGGCAAACCAAAUUAAUGAUCUUAUACAAACUGUCAUUUGGAUAGGAGAUAGGCUCAUGAGCUUGGAAUAUCUUUUUCAGUUACAGUGUCACUGGAAUACAUCAGAUUUUUGUAUUACACCCCAAGCCUAUAAUGAGUCUGAGCAUCACUGGGACAUGAUUAGAUGCCAUCUACAAGGAAGAGAAGUCUACAGGUGUAUCCAACAGCUCUGAAGAGACAGAGACCAAAGAGAAUGGGCCAUGAUGACUAUGGCAGUUCUGUCAAAAAGAAAAGGGGGAUAUGUAGGGGAAAGAAAGAGAGAUCAGACUGUUACUGUGUCUAUGUAGAAAAGGAAGACAUAAGAAACUCCAUUUUGAUCUGUACCCUGAACAAUUGUUUUGCCCUGAGAUGCUGUUAAUCUGUAACUUUGCCCCAACCUUGAGCUCACAGAAACAUGUGUUUAUGGAAUCAAGGUUUAAGGGAUCUAGGGCUGUGCAGGAUGUGCCUUGUUAACCAUAUGUUACAGGCAGUAUGCUUGGUAAAAGUCAUCGCCAUUCUCCAUUCUCGAUAAACCAGGGGCACAAUGCACUGUGGAAAGCCACAGGGACCUCUGCCCUGGAAAGCCAGGUAUUGUCCAAGGUUUCUUCUCCCUGAGAUAGCCUGAGAUAUUGUGGGAUGGGAAAGACCUGAUCAUCCCCCAGCCUGACACCUAUGAAGGGUCUGUGCUGAGGAGGAUUAGUAAAAGAGGAAGGUCUCUUGCAGUUGAGAUAAGAGGAAGGCCUCUGUCUCCUGCCUGCCCCGGGAACAGAAUGUCUCGGUAUAAAACCUGAUUGUACAUUUGUCCAAUUCUGAGACAGGAGAAAAACCGCCCUGUGGAGGGAGGCGAGACAUGCCGGCAGCAAUGCUGCUCUGUUACUCUUUACUCCACUGAGAUGUUUGAGUGGAGAGAAGCAUAAAUCUGGCCUAUGUGCACAUCCAGGCAUAGUACCUUCCCUUAAACUUAUUUGUGACACAGAUUCCUUUGCUCACAUGUUUUCUUGCUGACCUUCUCCCCACUGUUACCCUGUUCGCCUGCUGCAUUCCUCUUGCCGAGAUAGUGAGAAUAGUAAUCAGUAAAUACUGAGGGAACUCAGAGACCGGUGCCAGUGCGGGUCCUCCGUAUGCUGAGCGCCAGUCCCCUGGGCCCACUUUUCUUUCUCUAUACUUUGUCUCUGUGUCUUAUUUCUUUUGUCAGUCUCUCGUCCCAUCUGAUGAGAAAUACCCACAGGUGUGGAGGGGCUGGCCCCCUUCAACAUGCGAACAGUGCUUCAAUCUUGCUGAAUCAUUUGUAGUGACUUUGUAAACUCAUGCCGUUUCUUCAUGAAAAUGUCAUUUGUUGAAAAUGCUGUUUACACUGCAGAAGUGACCUCCCCUUUCUCUUGGUUAUUUCCUAUGUAAAACCUUCCCCAAACUUCUCAGGCAUCAUUAAGCCCAACCAUCUUGGUGACCAUACAGUGUUUUGCAUACAUCUCUAUCAUUGCAUUUCCCAUAUCAUUUUAUUAGUUAUUAUCCUGUCUUAUCUUGAUUGAAUAAUAAGCACCUAGAGAUUUGAGACUUAUAGCUAAUAAAUAUCUACAGAAUAAAAUUUGAGUGAAUGAAUUAAUUUCUAAACUUCCCUACUUUUCUUUUACUUGCUAACAUAGUCGGGCAAUCAGAAUACUACAUCAUGUAAUUAUAAUUAGAUAAAAUAUGUUAAUGCCUAUCCCCACGUUUCCCACCACAAAACAAUAUAUAGUAUAAGGCAAAGAUGAGAGACCAACCUUUGGAAAGAAGGAAAUCCAAAUUUAAUUUCAGCUUCUUAAUGAAAGUAGAUAUAUUGGCUCCUUCUCUCUUCUUGAAAACAGUCAUUCCACAGCAACUUGAAGAUAUGUAUAGGUUAUCAGAUUAGUUAAUGUAUAAUCCCUUCCCAUGAGUCUUACAAUUUGGAUUUAAAAAAUUGCCAUGAGCCUUUUAGGGAUGGGCUGGGACCAUGUCUAAUGUGAUGGUAUUUAUAAUUUACCUACUAAUAUUGGUCUGCAAUACAUUUUAAUGCUAAUUGACAUAUUUUAAAGACCACUCAAAUGAAAUCAUUUUCAUUGGCUGGGAAAAGUAUAACAAAUAUGUUGGGAAAUAAACAAUCUCAUUAAUUCACUAGUCAGAAGUCAAAACCUUUGUAUCUUUUUAGAUAAUUUAAUAUUAAGAAAAAUUAUAGUGUAGACAAUGAAAAUGUCCAUUUAAGGCAUAUAACUUUUAUGAGAAA
rnacentral:lncRNA from 1 species